rnacentral:rRNA from 1 species
CAGGCCUAACACAUGCAAGUCGAGCGGAUGACGGGAGCUUGCUCCUUGAUUCAGCGGCGGACGGGUGAGUAAUGCCUAGGAAUCUGCCUGGUAGUGGGGGACAACGUUUCGAAAGGAACGCUAAUACCGCAUACGUCCUACGGGAGAAAGCAGGGGACCUUCGGGCCUUGCGCUAUCAGAUGAGCCUAGGUCGGAUUAGCUUGUUGGUGAGGUAAUGGCUCACCAAGGCGACGAUCCGUAACUGGUCUGAGAGGAUGAUCAGUCACACUGGAACUGAGACACGGUCCAGACUCCUACGGGAGGCAGCAGUGGGGAAUAUUGGACAAUGGGCGAAAGCCUGAUCCAGCCAUGCCGCGUGUGUGAAGAAGGUCUUCGGAUUGUAAAGCACUUUAAGUUGGGAGGAAGGGCAGNNUAGCUAUACCUUGCUGUGUUGACGUUACCGACACAAUAUAAUCAGCGCCUGCUAUGUCUGUGCCAGCAGCCGAGGUAAU